UACGUAGGCAGCAAGCGUUGUUCGGAAUUACUGGGCGUAAAGAGUGUGUAGGCGGUGUUCUAAGUUUGUCGUGAAAUCUCCCGGCUUAACUGGGAGGGUGCGGCGAAAACUGGAAUGCUAGAGGAUGGGAGAGGUAAGCGGAACUCCUGGUGUAGCGGUGAAAUGCGUAGAUAUCAGGAGGAACACCUGUGGUGUAGACAGCUUACUGGACCAUUUCUGACGCUGAGACACGAAAGCGUGGGUAGCAAACAGG
rnacentral:rRNA from 1 species